rnacentral:lncRNA from 1 species
AAGCUGAGGUUUAACCUUCUGCACAACUUCACAGCUAUUUCAAGGGGCAGUGGGCAGCCCUGCACUGCGCCCUGCACCACUGUAUGUGCCCUCCGCUUGCUGCUGGCUUCUCUCCCCUCCUUCGUGUCCAGCUGGCACCCUGUAGACUCACCUUGCUGGGUAGGUAGGGUCAGGGGAGGAGGUGGUUCCUUUCUCCAGUUACCUUGGCUGAUCUCAACCAGGUCUUCCAGAGAGGCAGGCCAAUGUGUUUGGAUAUGCCUCUUGGAAAAGGAUGGCUAAACCUCGUUCAUCCAUCAGUGACAGUGCUGGGAGAAAAGCCCCACUGCUUCCAGCUGCUGCUACCUGUGAGCAGACUUCCCCACUCUUCUCCAUCCCCGGGGCACUGUGUCCUUUCCACCGUGCUAAGGGCACUCUUCCUGCGUGCACGUGCCUGCACGGGUGUGUUGGAGGAAAAGGGGGUCAGGGAAGGCAAGGCUGAGGCUGUCUCUGUUGGGAUGAAGACGCUGGACUGGGCAGAUAUGAGAGAUUCAUUUCACUGGAAGAUAGCUCAGAGGGUUCCUGUUGUAGGGAUUGCACCAAGAUGACAGACUAGAGAGGUCUGACAAAUGGAAACACAAUCCCCUGACUCCAGGAGCUCAGACUUAAAUAUCAACAAAUACCUCAGGAUGCACUUGUGAGUGCUGAUGGAGCAGCUGACUCGGCGAGCAUGGAGGUGAACAACUCCAGAGCCCCGCAGAGCCCCGCAGUCCCGAUUUGCUGAACCCAGCGGAAUAAAUUCCUGUAUAAGAUGAUCCAUGUGCAUGGGCCCUCGCAGGAUCAGGGCCAACGUUUGCAAAGUGCUGUGAGAUGCUUGGAUGAAAGGGACUACAGAAGCGCAAAGUAUUACUUUUUCAUGAUUACUGCAUUUGCUAUCCUUGGGGCUGUCCAAAUGUUGUUGUUCCAAGUGAAAAUAUAAAACCCUUUUGGC